rnacentral:rRNA from 1 species
AUGGACGUUAAGACGGCUUUCCUCAAUGGAGAGUUGAAGGUGGAAAUUUACAUAGAUCAGCCAGAUGGUUUUGUAGUACCUGGUCAAGAAGGAAAGGUGUGCAAGUUAUUAAAGUCUUUAUAUGGCCUUAAACAAGCUCCUAAGGAGUGGCAUGAGAAGUUCGAAAGAACAUUAACUGCUGCCGGCUUUGUAGUAAACGAUGGUGACAAGUGUGUGUACUAUCGCUAUGGUGGGGGCAAAAGAGUUAUUCUUUGUCUGUAUGUCGACGACAUAUUGAUCUUUGGAACCAAACUUGAUUUAAUCAAGGAGGUUAAGGAUUUCUUAUCUCGCUGUUUUGAGAUGAAGGAUCUAGGAGUAGCUGAUGUUAUCUUAAACAUCAAGCUGUUGAGAGAUGAGAAUGGUGGGAUCACACUGCUUCAGUCUCAUUAUGUGGAAAAGGUCUUGAGUCGUUUUGGGUAUAGCGACUGCACGCCUUCUCCAACUCCAUAUGAUGCUAGUGUGUUGCUUCGAAAGAAUCGAUGGAUUGCUAGAGAUCAACUGAGGUAUUCUCAGAUUAUUGGCUCGCUUAUGUAUUUGGCGAGUGCCACGAGGCCUGACAUCUCUUUUGCUGUGAGCAAGCUGAGUCGGUUAGUGUCAAAACCGGGAGAUGAUCAUUGGCAUGCGCUUGAGAGAGUUAUGCGCUAUUUGAAAGGCACCGCGAGCUAUGGGAUUCAGUACACCAGGUAUCCAAGGGUACUGGAGGGUUAUAGUGACUCAAACUAG